rnacentral:rRNA from 1 species
CAGUGGGGAAUUUUGCCCAAUGGGGGCAAGCCUGAUGCAGCCCAUGCCGCGGGUAUGAAGAAGGCCUUUCGGGUUGUAAAGUACUUUCAGCGGGGAGGAAGGUGGUGAGGUUAAUAACCUCAGCAAUUGACGUUACCCGCAGAAGAAGCACCGGCUAACUCCGUGCCAGCAGCCGCGGUAAUACGGAGGGUGCACAGCGUUAAUCGGGAAUUACUGGGGCGUAAAGCGCACGCAGGCGGUCUGUCAAGUCGGAUGUGAAAUCCCCGGGCUCAACCUGGGAACUGCAUUCGAAACUGGCAGGCUAGAGUCUUGUAGAGGGGGGUAGAAUUCCAGGUGUAGCGGUGAAAUGCGUAGAGAUCUGGAGGAAUACCGGUGGCGAAGGCGGCCCCCUGGACAAAGACUGACGCUCAGGUGCGAAAGCGUGGGGAGCAAACAGGAUUAGAUACCCUGGUAGUCCACGCCGUAAACGAUGUCGACUUGGAGGUUGUGCCCUUGAGGCGUGGCUUCCGGAGCUAACGCGUUAAGUCGACCGCCUGGGGAGUACGGCCGCAAGGUUAAAACUCAAAUGAAUUGACGGGGGCCCGCACAAGCGGUGGAGCAUGUGGUUUAAUUCGAUGCAACGCGAAGAACCUUACCUACUCUUGACAUCCAGAGAACUUUCCAGAGAUGGAUUGGUGCCUUCGGGAACUCUGAGACAGGUGCUGCAUGGCUGUCGUCAGCUCGUGUUGUGAAAUGUUGGGUUAAGUCCCGCAACGAGCGCAACCCUUAUCCUUUGUUGCCAGCGGUCCGGCCGGGAACUCAAAGGAGACUGCCAGUGAUAAACUGGAGGAAGGUGGGGAUGACGUCAAGUCAUCAUGGCCCUUACGAGUAGGGCUACACACGUGCUACAAUGGCGCAUACAAAGAGAAGCGACCUCGCGAGAGCAAGCGGACCUCAUAAAGUGCGUCGUAGUCCGGAUUGGAGUCUGCAACUCGACUCCAUGAAGUCGGAAUCGCUAGUAAUCGUAGAUCAGAAUGCUACGGUGAAUACGUUCCCGGGCCUUGUACACACCGCCCGUCACACCAUGAGGAGUGGGUUGCAAAAGAAGUAGGUAGCUUAACCUUCGGGAGGGCGCUUACCCACUUUGUGAUUCAUGACUGGGGUGAAGUCGUAACAAGGUAACCGUAGGGGAACCUGCGGU